AGCCUUAUAUUCAAUAAUGAUAUGAAAUUGCAAAUUUUAAGGUAUAAGAAAAUUAUUAAGGCUU
rnacentral:tRNA from 1 species